GGCGCCCACACCCAGGCGCGCCCGCGCGCGCGCCCGGCGCGGUCCCCGCCUGGAAGCACAGCUGAAGAUGGCGAGCCCGGCGCCGCCGGAGCACGCCGAGGAGGGAUGCCCGGCUCCCGCCGCCGAGGAGCAGGCGCCGCCGUCGCCGCCACCGCCCCAGGCACCCCCCGCAGAGCGGCAGCAGCAGGAGGAGGAAGCGCAGGAGGCUGGGGCGGCGGAGGGCGCGGGGCUGCAGGUGGAGGAGGCCGCGGGCCGGGCGGCGGCCGCGGUAACCUGGCUGCUUGGGGAGCCCGUGCUGUGGCUGGGCUGCCGCGCUGACGAGCUGCUGAGCUGGAAGAGGCCGCUGCGGAGCCUGCUUGGCUUCGUCGCUGCCAACCUGCUGUUCUGGUAGACACUCACCGCAACUUUCCCCUGGACGCACGUCCCUGUGAGCAGUUGUCGUCCUCCGUGUGCGGAUCCAGCCUCAGAUGCGAGGUGGUCGGCCGACCGGCAGGCACCUGCACCUACAGGUGUUCCCAUCGUGCUUGAAAACUUCGUCCCUGCUUUCUAAAACUCUCAGGUCUGGACCUGCUCGCCCAAGCUUGCCAGAGCAAACGUGCUUGAACGUGUCUUGGUUUUUGCGGCCCCAGCAGGCAUAUCUGGACCAGAUUAGGUACACAUUCAAAACGGUGCCGCAUUCAUCAGUCCCUGAGAUGGGCCCUGAAUGAUUUGUUUUUUCCUUCCCCUGGAGCGUUAGGUUUACUGUGUUUACUCCCUGAUGAGAAAACACAGGCAGGUAGAGUAUGCCCAGCACCCAC
rnacentral:sRNA from 1 species